AGGCUUCCAUCAGGUGCAGUGGGGAUUAGUUGCAUGCUUCAGGGCCAGGAGUGGCCCCUCUGGCCCUUCAGAAGGACCCUUGGGGCUUCUCCUGCAUGGGAAUAUCACAUCUGGCAUCUCCCCGGUUUUGGGAGGGGGCCAAGCCAGGUAUCUGAAGCUGUAGGAUGCUCGGUGGCCUCUACCUCCCCAUUCUGCUCAGCACACCACCAGCUUACAGGAGUCUAAAAAUAACCCAGCCCGGGACCUUCUCACCGGUGCUUGGGUGCGGGAGGCAGGCAAAAGCAGAUGAGCUGGGGAGCCCCCAGCUCCCAGCUGUACCAGCUUGACCCAAUUUUCGAGGCAGGGAUCUACAUUGCUGUGAUUCAAAUGCAGGGCCUUGAACAUGAAACCCUGGGAGGUGCAAACAAGAGCAUCACCCCGACUUUGCAAGUUAGGAAACAGAAGCACCAAGACAUCAGGCGAUGUGACCACAGCGACAGCUUGGGAGUACCAGAGCCAACUUAGGUGCCUGAGGCCUGGGAGCCUAACCAUAGCACUGCACCACUUCCCUGAUGCACUGUGUUGUCCAGCCGUGAGGGAGUAUUGGACACAGAUAUCCUUCCACUCCUGAUGAUUAUUUCUAAUAACACAAUUUCCCCA